rnacentral:lncRNA from 1 species
UAUUGCUCCAGGAAAUCAACUUGCUGUCUCUGUCCGAAGUCCUCCUUCAUAAUGUCUGUAGGAACACAUUAGUUUUAGUAACUUUAGUAACUUCUUACAAAGGCCUCCAUGAGACCAUGGUCUGUGUCCGCUGUGAGACUCCAAUAUAAACAGGAGUGGGAAAGGAGAUUUGAGAGUAGAGACGUGUAGGAUGAAAAGGGAAAAGGGAAGAGAGAGAGGUGCAGAAAGAACAAACAGCCUAUUGAGGAUAUUGGUAGCCAUAGAAGGUUUUGAUGCCUGCACCAAGUCUCGAAGGGAACAAGUAGAUGCUACUCUCAGUGUCCACUAAACCAUAAGUCCUUUGAGGAUACAGGAAGACAUCCACCAAUCUCAAGAUCAAAAUGUGAUAAGAGGAAGUCUGCAAGCAAAGAAGAUGUUACCCACCACCACCUCUUACAGAAAUGGCAGAAUCUCUGGGAAUAAUGAGAAAAGCCUGCCUGUAGCAUGUAGGAGAGUAAAAAAGAGAAUAAGCAACCUGAUGCCACAUAUUGAAAUUUCAUUUGACAAAUAUGCAUUGAAUAUCUACUAUGUGGCAGACAGCCUUCAAGCAGGAGGGAUACACAGAUGAACCAAAUGUAGGCCCUGCCUGUGAGACUCCAGACUGGACAGAAUGCACUUAAGUCCACAUAGCAGUAAUACACGUCGGACUGUGAGGAUGGCUGAGCAGAAGGAAGAGCAAGGAAUUCUCUAUGGGAAGACUCUGGAAGGCUUUAACAAGGAUGUGCUCUUUAGCUGAACCUUAAAGCAUGAGUGAAAAAAAAGAGCAGAAAAAGGUGGUGUUUUGAGCAGAGAACAGACACUGAGCAAGAAGCAGAAGAGCAGAGGAGCCGAGAAAGCUGGACAGAGUUCUAGAAAUGUGGCAUGGAAGGAAUGAAAGGUCUGAGGAGGGAAAGGAGGUCAGGACCAACUACGAAUGGUCUGGAAUGACUUGCUACACGUGGAUUUGACUUUAUUUGUAGGCCGGGGGGUUGUAGAGGUUUUAUAUUUUUAUACAUUUAUUUUUUAAUUUUCAUAUUUCAACAGAGCUUGUUUCAAGUAAUUCUUAUGUAAAACAUGAAUGUAUACAACAAAAACAAGCGGGUGAUGUUUCAUUAGUACAAACGUGCUUUUAUAAUCUUAACUUUAUUAAGCUUGCUUAUUCUUAAGUUAACCAAUGAGAACAAUUCUAAUCGUCUGCACAUGAGUCAAGAUUUUGCACUCUGUGCAAGUGACUGAAAACUCAAUUCAAACUAACUCAGGAAAAAAAAAAGUGGGGGAAGGGAGGAAGAAGAUUUAUUACCCAUAUAAAUCCAGGAGGGGUUCUGGGAUUCAGGAAUCAGUUGAUUGUGGGGCUGAAAGAAUAUUAUCAAAGCUUCAGCUGAUUUCUCAGCUCCAUGUCCCCUCUAUAGUAGCUGCUUCAUUCUCAACAUGAGCAUCCUUGGUAGUCCCCAGGAACGCUGGGCUUAGAAUCACCUUUACAAGCGGCAAUCUUCCUUUCCUACCAAAGCCCACCACAGUCCCAGAACUAAGCCUCAGCGACCUGGCCCGCCUCACAUGUCCAUCCCUGAACCUGUGGCCAACACAAUGGUGUAUCCCAAAUGAGCAUGGUGGGUCCUGCAUACAUCCAGGUCUCGAAGGAAAAUCGAGCUGCUGUCACCGGAAGGAGGAUGCACAGGAAAAAAAAAACACAGUUUAUUCUAUUUUGACCAAUGUGAAAAUUUUAAAUUUAGGAUAAGGGAUUGCAGGUUUAUACCAGUUUUAACACUCACUUUGUUUCUGUAUUUUAUUUGCACAGUAUUGAGAAAAUUCUGAUUCAUUACUGGUAACUGUUUUUUAAAUAGCAUACCUGUUUAAAUUACACCUGGAACAUUCAAAAUAGUCUUAAAUUAAACUUGUGCCAAAGUGUAAGUAGGUUGAAAGUCUGAGCAAUGGGAAGUUUUAUUUCAAAGUUUAAUUCUACAAACAAUCUCCUCUGUUAAUUUAAGUGUUCACUGGGAAGAUGUUUCUCAAAUGUAUCUAUAAUAUCUAACAAGAAAUUCAACAAUGUUACUUAUUUUUUAAACUUAGUAUCUCAGUAACUAUUGCUCAAAGCUUGAGUGUGAUAAAAUUAAUGUUUUGCUCUUUGAGUCAUAAAGUUAGGUUUCAACUUAAUUGCUGGCAUGCUAUCAGCAAAUGUAAGCAUGGUGAUAUUGCAACUUCACAUUGCCAAACUGAACUCAUUCAGUUUCUUGAAAAACAUCAGCAAGUUUAUGCAACUCUGUUAUAUCAGAGAACUAUUUGCUAAGUCUCAUUUGGGAUACAAUAUUUAGUGAUUUCUUGUCUCAUUUGAAAGAGUAAUAACAACACCUUGCCUCAAGACAGUUGGUAAGUGUACUUUCCCAGGAGAAAGUACACUGUGGAACCCACAACCCAAUACAUUCCCAAAAACUAUAAAAAGGCUGAAAUUGGAAUCUCCUGUCUCAUUAAACUGACAAUGUAAAGGAAAUCGCUAAUCACUGUUUUUGCUUUUGUUUUUUGAGACGGAGUCUCGCUCUGUAGCCCAGGCUGGAGUGCAGUGGCGCAAUCUCGCUCACUUGCAAGCUCCGCCUCCCGGGUUCACGCCAUUCUCCUGCCUCAGCCUCCCCAGCAGCUGGGACUAUAGGCGCACACCACCACGCCCGGCUAAUUUUUUGUAUUUUUAGUAGAGAUGGGGUUUCACCGUGUUAGCCAGGACCGUCUCCAUCUCCUGACUUUGUGAUCCUCCCGACUCGGCCUCCCAAAGUGUUGGGAUUACAGGCGUGAGCCACCGCGCCCAGCCUAAUCACUGUUUUAAGAGAUGCUCAUGUCACCUUAAUAGCAAGUGCUUUUCUGUGCAACUUGCCAUGUCUUAUUCAAAAUCACAUUUCACCAAGAAAAUUCCUCAGCACUUUGCACCACUUCAUCCCAUUCUGCAUAGCCUUAUUUUCCUAAUUGGGCUAACAUGACUCUUUUCUUAGCCUGAGAGCCCUGCAAGGGCUGGAACUCUCUUAUUAUGUGCUUUCUCUCCAUUGAGCUUACUAAUGUAUACUCAGAGCUUAGACUGUAAAUGUUUGGUGAAUAAAUUAUGUAUGUAUGUAUGUAUGUAUGUAUAUUUAAUGUGUUUUAUUUACAAAAAAAAUUAAAGGAAAAUUUUCACCAAGCCAUUGUUUCAAAUAAAAUUCUUUUUUUUUAAUUUUUUUUUUUAUUUUGAGACAAUCUCACUCUGUCACCCAGGCUGGAGUGCAGUAGCGCAAUCUUGGCUCACUGCCACCUCCGCCUCCUGGGUUCAAGCGAUUCUCGUGCCUCAGCCACCCAAGUAGCUGGGAUCACAGGCAUGUGCCACCAUGCCCAGCUAAUUCUUGUAUUUUUAGUAGAGACGGGGUUUCACCAUGUUGACUAGGCUGGUCUUGAACUCUUGGCCUCCCAAAGUGCUGAGAUUACAGACAUGAGCCACCACACCCAGCCUCAAAUAAAAUUCUUGAGAUUAAGAGUUUUUACACCCCUUAUAAAUAGCACACAAAACAAGAAACCAAAAACUUAUCUCCUCUACAGAAAUGUUUUGCAAUGGCUAUUUUGACCCCAGGACCAUUUACAUUCCUCAUUCAUUCAUCAAACAGUUAGGAAGCACCUACUACAUGCUAUUAAACUGUCCCCAUUGCUGAGGAUAUCUUCUGAAAGACAUUAAAUACAGUUUUUGACCUCAAGGAGUCUAGUCAGGGAGAAUCAUAGAACUCAAAUCAUCAUCAUGCCACCUGAUGUGUGCCAUAAGAGAGAUACGAAUAUUACGUGGUGUUGAUUAGGCUCUUUCGGGUUGCCAGGAAAAGAGACGUGCUCUGGUGACUUGCAUUAAUGUGGUUCAUUAUGAGGAAGUAGGGAAGAACAGGAAGCAGUUUUAGCAGCUGCCUGGCGGGUCUGGCAGAGCCAGGAAUGUCAUUCAGGACAUAGUAUACCUCCAGCCACCUGUUCUUCUUGACAUUGCUUCAACGGCAAGCAUCUGUUGCUCCUUCUCUAGUGCUCUGCCAGUGUGAUGACUCAGCCACGCUCUGCCCUGCUUUCUCUGCUCGUGCUGCUAAAUCC